GUGAAUCAUCGAAUUUUUGAACGCAAAUUGCGCUCUCCGCGGAGAGUAUGCCUGUUUGAGUGUCAGCCUAUAAAAAAUCGACAUCGUUGCUGUUUCGCGGUGGCUUUCGUCGGAAAUUGGGUUAUCUUAAAUCCUUUUGGGUUUUAAGCGACUUCAAAUUUUCUUUUUGGUUCCAUGAACGUUUCUAAGAUUUAUUUCUUUACACGUUUAAGGUAUCGAUUUUUAUUAGACGCGAUCAUCAUAGCUGAUCGCGUCCAUAAUCUUUCAUUAACUGACCUAAGACAGGUAAGAGUACCCG
rnacentral:misc_RNA from 1 species